rnacentral:rRNA from 1 species
CCGGAGAUAUCUCGUUCUCCCCGAAAUAGCUUUAGGGCUAGCCUCGAAUCGUUUACUUGCGGUGGUAGAGCACUGGAUUUGUGCGGGGGCUUCACCGCCUACCAACCAAAACCAAACUCCGAAUGCCGUAAGUUUAGAGAUCGGGAGUCAGAACAUGUGGGCUAAGCCGUGUGUUCGAGAGGGAAACAGCCCAGACCGCCUGCUAAGGUCCCUAAAUUCGUGCUAAGUGGCAAAGGAUGUGCGUUUGCCUAGACAACCAGGAUGUUGGCUUAGAAGCAGCCAUGCAUUUAAAGAGUGCGUAACAGCUCACUGGUCAAGUGGACAUGCGCCGACAAUACACGGGGCUAAGCACGAUACCGAAGCAGCGGACUGAUUUAUCAGUGGUAGGGGAGCUUUCUUAUCUGGGUUGAAGCUUUGUGGUAACGCAAGGUGGACUGAUAAGAAGUGAGAAUGCUGGCAUGAGUAACGAGAGAGGAGCGAGAAACUCCUCCGCCGUAAGCCUAAGGGUUCCUGGGCAAGGCUAAUCCUCCCAGGGUCAGUCGGGAGCUAAGGCGAGGCUGUGAAGCGUAGCCGAUGCACAACAGGUUGAUAUUCCUGUACCACCAUCUAAUCACUAUGACGAUGGGGUGACGGAGAAGGGUAGCCGGGCGGGGUUCUGGACGUCCCCGUGAAAGCGUGUAGGGUAAGGUUGUAGGCAAAUCCGCGACCUUGUAGGCCUGAGACGUUAGACGAAGCUCUAAGUGAAGUCGGUAAGCCCAUGCUUCCAAGAAAAACCUCUAAGCAGAUUUUAUGGUGCCCGUACCAAAACCGACACAGGUAGGCGGGUAGAGCAUACCAAGGCGAUCGGGAGAACCAUGGUUAAGGAACUCGGCAUAAUGACUCCGUAACUUCGGGAGAAGGAGUGCCCUUGUCUGUGACAGACUACGCGUCUUGAGCGGAUGAGGGUCGCAGCGAAACGGCCCAAGCGACUGUUUAUCAAAAACACAGGACUCUGCUAAGUCGUAAGACGACGUAUAGGGUCUGACGCCUGCCCGGUGCUGGAAGGUUACGUGGAUGUGUUAGCAUCUCGCGAAGCACUGAAACUAAGCCCCAGUAAACGGCGGCCGUAACUAUAACGGUCCUAAGGUAGCGAAAUUCCUUGUCGGGUAAGUUCCGACCUGCACGAAUGGCGUAACGAUUUGGGCGCUGUCUCGACCAUGGACCCGGUGAAAUUGUAUUAUUCGUGAAGAUGCGAAUUACCUGCGGAAGGACGGAAAGACCCCGUGAACCUUUACUGCAGCUUGGCAUUGACUGUUGGUUCGGCGUGUAGAGGAUAGGUGGGAGACUGUGAAGCAGAAACGCCAGUUUCUGUGGAGUCAACCUUGGAAUACCACCCUCGCCGCUCCGGCAGUCUAACGUGUGAGCGUUAUCCGCCACACGGACCGUGCCAGGUGGGUAGUUUGACUGGGGCGGUCGCCUCCUAAAUGGUAACGGAGGCGUGCGUAAGGUUCGCUCAGGAUGGUUGGCAAUCAUCCGUAGAGCACAAGAGUAUAAGCGAGCUUGACUGCGAGACCUACAAGUCGAGCAGAGACGAAAGUCGGUUCUAGUGAUCCGGCGGCCCAGCGUGGAAUGGCCGUCGCUCAACGGAUAAAAGGUACUCCGGGGAU